AGCGUAGACGGCUUAGCAAGUCUGAAGUGAAAGCCCGGGGCUCAACCCCGGGACUGCUUUGGAAACUGUUAAGCUGGAGUGCUGGAGAGGUAAGCGGAAUUCCUAGUGUAGCGGUGAAAUGCGUAGAUAUUAGGAGGAACACCAGUGGCGAAGGCGGCUUACUGGACGGUAACUGACGUUGAGGCUCGAAAGCGUGGGGAGGCAAAACA
rnacentral:rRNA from 1 species